AUUGAACGCUGGCGGCAGGCUUAACACAUGCAAGUCGAGCGAGCGGCGGACGGGUGAGUAAUGUCUGGGAAACUGCCUGAUGGAGGCGGAUAACUACCGGAAACGGUAGCUACUACCGCAUACCAUCAGAUGUGCCCUGAUGGGAUUAGCUAGUAGGUGGGGUAAUGGCUAACCUAGGCGACGAUCCCUAGCUGGUCUGAGAGGAUGACCGGCCAAACUGGAACUGAGAAACGGUCCAGACUCCUACGGGAGGCAGAAGUGGGGAAUAUUGGACAAUGGGCGCAAGCCUGAUGCAGCCACGCCGCGUGUGUGAAGAAGGCCUUCGGGUUGUAAAGCACUUUCAGCGGGGAGGCGUUACCCGCAGAAGAAGCACCGGCUAACUCCGUGCCAGCAGCCGCGGUAAUUC
rnacentral:rRNA from 1 species